rnacentral:rRNA from 1 species
GGUUUGAUCCUGGCUCAGAUUGAACGCUGGCGGGAUGCUUUACAUACAAGUCAGACGGCAGCACGGACUUCGGUCUGGUGGCGAGUGGCGAACGGGUGAGUAAUGUAUCGGAACGUGCCUAGUAGCGGGGGACGCUACGCGAAAGCGUAACUAAUACCGCAUACGCCCUUCGAAGCGAGGACCUUCGGAGCCUCGCACUAUUAGAAGCGGCCGAUAUCGGAUUAGCUAGUUGGUGGGGUAACGGCGGCUCGCAGGCGACGAUCCGUAGCUGGUUUGAGAGGACGACCAGCCACACUGGGACUGAGACGUGGGCUGCUACGGGAGGCAGCGGUGGGGAAUUUUGGACAAUGGGGGAAACCUGAUCCAGCCAUCCCCGCGUGUGCGAUGAAGGCCUUCGGGUUGUAAAGCACUUUUGGCAGGAAAGAAACGGCACGGGAUAAUACGAUGCAACUGACGAACACCUGCAGAAUAAGCACCGGCUAACUACGUGCCAGCAGCGAUAAUACGUAAGUGCAAGCGUUAAUCGGAAUUACUGGGCGUAAAGCGUGCGCAGGGUUCGGAAGAAAGAUGUGAAAUCCCAGAACAACCUGGAACUGCAUUUUUAACUACCGAGCUGGGAAGUGUGUCAGAGGUGGAAUUCCGCGUGUAGCAGUGAAAUGCGUAGAUAUGCGGAGGAACACCGAUGGCGAAGGCAACCUCCUGGGAUAACACUGACGCUAUUUUACAAGCGUGGGGAGCAAACAGGAUUAGAUACCCUGUUGAUCCCUUUAAACAUGAUGUCCAACUAGCUGUUGGGGCCUUCGGGUCUUGGUAACAGCUAACGCGUGAAGUUGACCGCCUGGGGAGUACGGUCGCAAGAUUAAAACUCAAAGGAAUUGACGGGGACCCACUAAGCGAAGUGGAUGAUGUGGAUCAUUCGAUGCAACGCGAAAACCUUACCUACCCUUGACAUGUCUGGAAUCCCGAAAGAGAUUUGGGGAGUGCUCGCAAGAGAGCCAAGGAACACAGGUGCUGCAUGGCUGUCGUCAGCUCGUGUCGUGAGAUGUUGGGUUAAGUCCCGCAACGAGCGCAACCCUUGUCAUAGUUGCUACGAAAGGGCACUCUAAUGAGACUGCCGGUGACAAACCGGAGGAAGGUGGGGAUGACGUCAAGUCCUCAUAGCCCCUUAUGGGUAGGGCUUCACACGUCAUACAAUGGUCGGGACAGAGGGUCGCCAACCCGCAGCGAGGGAGCCAAUCAGAAACCCGAUCGUAGUCCGGAUCGCGGUCUGCAACUCGACUGCGUGAAGUAGAAUCCCGCUAGUAAUCGCGGAUCAGCAUGUCGCGGUGAAUACGUUCCCGGGUCUUGUACACACCGCCCGUCACAUGGUGGUUUUACCAGAAGUAGUUAGCUAACCGUAAGGAGGGCGAUUACCACGGUAAGAUUCAUGACUGGGGUGAAGUCACAACAAAGGUAA